UACGUAGGGUGCGAGCGUUGUCCGGAUUUAUUGGGCGUAAAGGGCUCGUAGGCGGCCUGUCGCGUCGGGAGUGAAAGCCCACUGCUUAACGGUGGGUCUGCUUUCGGUACGGGCGGGCUAGAGUAUGGCAGGGGAGACUGGAAUUCCUGGUGUAGCGGUGGAAUGCGCAGAUAUCAGGAGAACACCGGUGGCGAAGGCGGGUCUCUGGGCCAUUACUGACGCUGAGGAGCGAAAGCGUGGGGAGCGAACAGG
rnacentral:rRNA from 1 species